UGAGGAAUAUUGCACAAUGGGCGCAAGCCUGAUGCAGCAACGCCGCGUGGAUGAUGAAGGCCUUCGGGUUGUAAAAUCCUUUUUCUGGGGAAAGAUAAUGACGGUACCCCAGGAAUAAGUUCCGGCUAACUACGUGCCAGCAGCCGCGGUAAAACGUAGGGGACGAGCGUUAUCCGGAUUUACUGGGCGUAAAGCGCAUGUAGGUGGCUUGAAAAGUUGGACGUGAAAGCUCCUGGCUUAACUGGGAGAGGUCGUACAAAACUAGCAAGCUUGAGGUUGGAAGAGGAGAGCAGAAUUCCCGGUGUAGUGGUGGAAUGCGUAGAUAUCGGGAGGAAUACCGAUGGCGAAGGCAGCCCCCUGGGCUAACACUGACGCUCAUGCACGAAAGCGUGGGGAGCAAACAGGAUUAGAUACCCAAGUAGUCCCUGAGCGGGCUGGCAAGGCGCAU
rnacentral:rRNA from 1 species